GCCGGCUUAGCUCAGUUGGUAGAGCAUCUGAUUUGUAAUCAGAGGGGUCGCGUGUUCAAGUCAUGUAGCCGGCA
rnacentral:tRNA from 1 species